AUUGAACGCUGGCGGCAGGCCUAACACAUGCAAGUCGAGCGGUAGAGAGGUGCUUGCAUCUCUUGAGAGCGGCGGACGGGUGAGUAAUGCCUAGGAAUCUGCCUAGUGGUGGGGGAUAACGUUCGGAAACGGACGCUAAUACCGCAUACGUCCUACGGGAGAAAGCGGGGGAUCUUCGGACCUCGCGCCAUUAGAUGAGCCUAGGUCGGAUUAGCUAGUUGGUGAGGUAAUGGCUCACCAAGGCGACGAUCCGUAACUGGUCUGAGAGGAUGAUCAGUCACACUGGAACUGAGACACGGUCCAGACUCUACGGGAGGCAGCAGUGGGGAAUAUUGGACAAUGGGCGAAAGCCUGAUCCAGCCAUGCCGCGUGUGUGAAGAAGGUCUUCGGAUUGUAAAGCACUUUAAGUUGGGAGGAAGGCAGUAAGUUAAUACCUUGCUGUUUUGACGUUACCAACAGAAUAAGCACCGGCUAACUUCGUGCCAGCAG
rnacentral:rRNA from 1 species